GGGGGCGUUUUGGCUUCGACGGGGGGAGAAGGGAUUUAUUAAGCGAGUCGAGGGAAGCAUGUGUCCUCGUUAAUAAAGUAUGCAUUAAAUGUAAACGCAGAAGACAAUUUUGCAUUAGCAGCUUAAUAUAAGCUACUCAUCAGUCCGGGUUGCCUACGGCUCGGGUAGCUGGUGUCAUAGAGUGGGACACGAAGUUUAGCAAAGCUUUGAGCUAAAGGGGUAUUUAUGAAGCUACUGAUUAUGUAAGCCUGUUUAUGGGCGUGCAUUUGAGGGAAUCUUAAAACAUAAACUGCACUCGGAGAAAGAUAAAUGGCGCUCCUUUCGGACACGGGUUCGACACCCGUCGCCUCCACCA
rnacentral:tmRNA from 1 species